rnacentral:rRNA from 1 species
AUUGAACGCUGGCGGCAUGCCUUACACAUGCAAGUCGAACGGUAACGCGGGGCAACCUGGCGACGAGUGGCGAACGGGUGAGUAAUGCAUCGGAACGUGCCCGGUAGUGGGGGAUAACUGCUCGAAAGAGCAGCUAAUACCGCAUACGACCUGAGGGUGAAAGGGGGGGAUCGCAAGACCUCUCGCUAUCGGAGCGGCCGAUGUCGGAUUAGCUAGUUGGUGGGGUAAAGGCCCACCAAGGCAACGAUCCGUAGCUGGUCUGAGAGGACGACCAGCCACACUGGGACUGAGACACGGCCCAGACUCCUGCGGGAGGCAGCAGUGGGGAAUUUUGGACAAUGGACGCAAGUCUGACCCAGCCAUGCCGCGUGCGGGAAGAAGGCCUUCGGGUUGUAAACCGCUUUUGUCAGGGAAGAAAUCUUCUGGACUAAUACUCUGGGAGGAUGACGGUACCUGAAGAAUAAGCACCGGCUAACUACGUGCCAGCAGCCGCCGUAAUAC